rnacentral:misc_RNA from 1 species
GGGAAAUAACGUUAUUUGCUAUAUGCGAAGAUCUGAAGUUAAAAUAGUGUGGAAAAAAAAAUUAACUGAAUUGCUUUUGUUGCUAACAUUUAUUUUAUGUAAAUACAAAUUAAUUAGGAAUUUGAAAGGACGGAAAUUAAGAGAGAAAAUUUGAGAAAUUAAAAAAUGGAGAGAAAUGAAAAUUUAAGAGCAAAAAAUUGAGAGAUGAAAAUUUGUGAGUGAGAGAAUUGAGAGGUUGAAAGAAGAAUAUGAAAUUAUUUGAAAUUUAUUGUAUUUAUAGGUAAAAAUAUUUUCCAUAUUUACAAAAUGUCUUUAUAAAUUAGUUGUUUUUUUUUUACUAUUAU